rnacentral:lncRNA from 1 species
GGUAGACUUGUUUAAAAAAACAGAAACACGAAUCCAUCUCCCACAUCUUCUCUCCUCCCAAAUCGCGCAUAAGGUCUUGGCUCCUCCCAAACCAGAAAUCUCAUCGCUCUCGGCGUCUCCGACCUCAUUCUCCGGUGCCUCGAUAUAUAUCCUUAUUUUGUUUCCCUUCUCACAUGUUUUCAGUCCCGUCCAUUUGUCUCCAAAAAUCGAGCAUCAUCUCAUCCCUGAUCUCCAAAACAGUCCAAUCGAGCUCAAAAAAUUGCAGCGGAGAUGUCGAAUCAGAGGAAUCUCGACUUCGAAUCGGUAAACCCCAUAUUAUUUUCCCUAUUACAACUGUAUUUUUUGAUUUUACGCUGCGAUUUCCUGCGAUUUCCCCUACUUUUUCUAUUUCUAGGUUUUAUGUGGCCCUUAUUAUCUCUUUGCUAUUUGGGUAUUUUUGUGCGGGUUUAUUUUUUUAGAGGAAUCUAAGUUCUGUUCUCAUGCUCUGGUUAUAAUUCUAGUACUUUGAUUCAAGUAUUUAGUUCGAUUUAAAGGCUUAUAUUCACUCUUCUUGAAGCUUAUGAAUGUGCGAAUUACACUCCAUCAGGGUAGAAAUGAAGUGGGAAUAAUAGAGUAGAUGAUAGACAGUGAAUUUUCUUUCUGAUGUUUGAAUGUUUCGUUAGGGGAGAACAGAGCGAGAGACAAGGAAAGGAAAAAAGUGAGUAAUAUUUUUUUCUCCAAAAAUUUUUCUCCAUAUUUAAAAUUGACCGAGGGAAGAGAAAAUUCUAUAAUCUAAACAAAAAAAAUUAAAAAUUAAAGGGUGUGGCAAAAGUGAAUGUUGUGAUGCUAAAAGAUUGGGUUUUGGUUUGUUCUUUUAUACGGUUAUUGAAUCUUUGAAUUAAUUUGGAGUGAUUUGGAUUUUGGUCAUUCCGUGUUUUGAAGUGAUUUGGAUUUAGAUUUUGGGCAUUAUGGAUUCUGGGAUUCUGGGUUAUACAUAUAUAGCUACUUUCCUACUUUUCGAUUCCAAUUUCUCUCUCUCGACCCUCGUACUAUUUUCCAACCCUACUUUAUUUUUUUAGGUUUGUCAUUUAUUGUUCUUCCAAAUUCUCAACCAUAGAGGAGCAGUAUUCUGCGUCGAUUUCUGAGUUACUCUGACACUGUUGCUUUUACCCAAAUGCCCUCGUAAUUAUAUAUGUUUUUUAUUUUCAGUUGCCUAUUGCUCCAACUCAUGUAUAUUCUAUAAAUGAUUCAUUGCCAGCAGAGGAAGCUGCUGCUGCAGAGUACGAGUUUGUCAUUAGACAACUAGUAAUCAACUCCUCAACCAAUGUGGCCGUGGUUGUAACAGGUAGGGGUGAGCAUUCGGUUAUAACCGAACCGAAAUUGCUAUUCGGUUAUAACCGAAAACCGAACUACUGAUGAUUUUACUAUCCGAACCACAAACCCAAAUUUGAAACUAACCGAAUUACCGAAUACCGAAUUACCGAAUAUACAAUUCGGUAAUUCGGAUAAUAACCGAACCUGUACUUAGAAUUAAAAUUAAGAAUAAAUCAACAGAUUACAAAAUAGCUUAACUGCUCAAGUACUUGAACAUAAAAUAAAGUUAACUGUUUAACUGUUACCAACAUUAACAUCCAACAAAUACAGCAUAAAACAAAUACAGCAACAUCCAAGUUGCGAACAUCCAACAUCAACAUCCAACAUCCAACAUAAUCAUUAACUAUUACAGCAACAAGCAAGCCAACAAGGCAACAAAUACAGCACUCAGCAGCAAAUUAACUGUUACAGCAGCAGCAAAGCAAUACAGCAUGACUCCAGUCACUCCAUGGGAUUACUAGCAACAAGCAAAUCAAUUGUCAUUGGAUCAAUUCAAGGCUAUUUAUAGAAAACUAUGCAAAUGAGCAAAUCAAAGAAAACAGAAUAUAAAUAUGACACUAGUGAAACUAAAAGUAUCACAGAAAACUAGUGUAGAAGUAUACACUAGUCUAAAACUAGUGUAAAAGUAUACACUAGUCUAGCAUGAAUGAGGAGUGAUACAGCCAGGAAGGGCAUGUGCUCCUACUUUACAGUUGGUAUGUCAUUGGAGAAAUUCUUGCAUACUGAAGACUGCUAGUAACUUCUUUACAAAACAUACAUAUUUUGAGCUUAUACUGCAAAAAUUGAUAGCAAUCAACUAUUUAUUUAGGACAAGACCUUUAUGUAUGAUAUGGCACAUCAAGCAACACAAAAAUAUCAACCAAAAACACCUACAGGAACUUAUUGAGAGGCUUGAAAUCUAAUGGUUAUCCAUUGUGAGUCGCAAAAGCAUCGGUUUGUAGGAAAAUAAGGAUCAAUUAGUACUGAUUUUAACCUAUACCUCUCUCUUUUGGAAGAAUCAAAUGAUUACCCACAUUAGAAAUCAUAACCCUAAGUCCUAACUAACAAAAUCAGAUCGAAUCAAAUGAUUACCCACCUUAGAAAUCAUAACCCUAAGUCCUAACUAACAAAACAAACAUACCAGUAUACCACAGAGGCACAGAGGCGUAAGAGAGCACUGGGCAGAGGCCGAAGGGGGAGACCGGGAGAGGGCAGAGCCGCAGAGAGCAUUGGACAGAGGCCGUUGGCCGAGGCGGAGGCUGGAGAGAGGCGGAGGCUGGAGAGGGAUUAGUCGACUGUCGAGAAAGAGGCAAGCAACUAAAGCAAUCAAGCAAAGCAAAGAGUGAAGAACUGAAGAUAAGGGCUACUGGGCUAGGGCAAAAUGGGAUCUGAACUCUGAAGACUGAAAUGUCAAAUGUGAAGUGAAAGUGAAAAUGGACCGUCGACUGAAAUUAUUUUUUUUAAAAAAUUAAGGUUCGGUUAUUCGGGUAAUCGAAUAAUCAGUUUUUGAAAACCGUAACCGUAACUGAAUGCAAUCCACUUCAAAAUUGUUUUUAUAUAAGUACAUCUGUAGCCAAUUAACCACCUUUACACAGGAAAGAUGGGAAAUGAUGCACUCAAAUUUCAUUACAGGGGAAAGAACAAAUCCACCAAACAAAGGCAUGUAAGAAAACUAGCAAGGUGUAGGAGCAUCAGCUUGUUCGGUUAUUCGGGUAAUCGAAUAAUCAGUUUUUGAAAACCGUAACCGUAACUGAAUACUAAAUAAUAAUUCGGAUAUAACCGAAAUUGUAAAAAAAACCGAAAAACCGAAAUAAUUCGGUUAAAAAAUUUCGGUUCGGUUCGGUAAUUCGGUUUUAUCCGUUUUUUGCUCACUCCUAGUAACAGGGAGAAGCAAAGCUGAGGUGGUGCACAGGGCAAUCAAUAAUGUUGAAGGUCCAUCAUUGCCUGUAAAGAUGGUCUAGCCAACUAAUGGGAAGUUGGCUUUAUUUUUGGACAAGCUGGUUGCAUCAAAGCUUGAUGGGGGUGCUCAAUUUUCCGAAUAAAACAAUUUUCUUGUCACUGAAGUGUGUAUUAGUGGAAGAAUCCAAGUCUGUCUAUCGAUUCUCGUUUUCCUUUAUAGUUCUCUUUUAAUUUUAGUGUCAGGUUAAUAUCUCCCAUGUUUGGCCUUUACCCUUCUCUCUUGUAGGGAGUUAUCGCUGGAGAAGUGUUAUAAUCUUUGUAGUUAAUUUUUGGUUUUAGAGUUGGAUCAACUCCUGCCUUUUUUGGCCUUCAUACCUCUGUUUUGUAGAGGAUUGUUGUCAGGGUUUGAUAAUCCAAUUUUGGUUCAAGGGAUAAUCUAAUUUUGGGAAAGUUAACUGAUUCUGUUGUCAAAUUGUAUCUCUCAUUUGUUAAUAUAGACUGAAAUCUUUCUUGUGAAUUGUUGCUAAAAUCUUUCAUAUCUUUCCAUGAAGAAUUAUAAACCGUAACAUGUGAAAUUGUCAAAAUCCAGUGCCUGUGGGGAUGUUUUUUUUAUUGGAUUGGCAAUAUUUAAUUCAAGUAUAUUUUGAAAUAAAACUAUUUAGGCAGAGAGAGAAUCUUCCAACUGGAGUCUGUAAGUUGCCAAUUACAUGCUUAGAUUAGAAGAUACUAUCAUUAAAUAAUUUAUUUUAAAGUUCACUUGGAAGCUUGGAGCAAAACAUAAUUCAUCUAUAAAAGAAAAAACUCGCAUAUUUAAUAAUAGAAAAAGAUUAAAGGAAAGAACAUCUGUCUAAUGAGAAAUUGAAAGGCAGGGAAAAAAAAUUAAGAAUCUUCCUCAUAGAACCCGUGAAUUUUAUUACUAAGAUGCAACAUUGAAUGCAAUCCACUUCAAAAUUGUUUUUAUAUAAGUACAUCUGUAGCCAAUUAACCACCUUUACACAGGAAAGAUGGGAAAUGAUGCACUCAAAUUUCAUUACAGGGGAAAGAACAAAUCCACCAAACAAAGGCAUGUAAGAAAACUAGCAAGGUGUAGGAGCAUCAGCUUGUUCAACUAACAGACACUAAUUUGCAGUAUUCCCUUUCUGUUAUAGACAUUAUGCCAUUUGAUUCUGGAAUCUCGUCUCCUUCCAUCCCUUGUUUAGGUUAGAAGCCACAAGUCCGUGCUUGAAGCCACUGGUCUGUUACUCCAUAAUCAAUGGCGUACUUAAUGGAACAUAUAUAUAGUCAUAUAUGCUACCUGAACAACAAGCCACUAUUAGUUGUCUGAAAAAAUUGGUUUAGUUUGUUAACAUUAAUCAGACAGGAUUCGCUGCAGGUCUAUUACAUCACCAUUCCUCCAUCAAUGGUAAGCACCUGCAACGCA